AGUGGCGGACGGGUGAGUAACGCGUGAGAAUCUGCCUUCAGGAUGGGGACAACAGUGGGAAACCACUGCUAAUACCCAAUAUGCCGAAAGGUGAAAAUUAUUUUGCCUGAAGAGGAGCUCGCGUCUGAUUAGCUAGUUGGUGGGGUAAAAGCUUACCAAGGCAACGAUCAGUAGCUGGUCUGAGAGGAUGAGCAGCCACACUGGGACUGAGACACGGCCCAGACUCCUACGGGAGGCAGCAGUGGGGAAUUUUCCGCAAUGGGCGAAAGCCUGACGGAGCAAUACCGCGUGAGGGAGGAAGGCCUUUGGGUUGUAAACCUCUUUUCUCAGGGAAGAAGAUCUGACGGUACCUGAGGAAUAAGCAUCGGCUAACUCCGUGCCAGCAGCCGCGGUAAUACGGAGGAUGCAAGCGUUAUCCGGAAUCAUUGGGCGUAAAGCGUCCGCAGGUGGUUUUUCAAGUCUGCUGUCAAAGACCAGAGCUCAACUCUGGGCAGGCAGUGGAAACUGGGAAACUAGAGUUCGGUAGGGGUAGCGGGAAUUCCCAGUGUAGCGGUGAAAUGCGUAGAUAUUGGGAAGAACAUCGGUGGCGAAGGCGCGCUACUGGACCGAAACUGACACUCAGGGACGAAAGCUAGGGUAGCGAAAGGGAUUAGAUACCCC
rnacentral:rRNA from 1 species